UCCACUUGAUGAUUUUAUUGCUUGAUUAAACAAUGAAGAACAAUCAUACUAAUAUCAGUAUGGUUUACAACAUACACUUAUCACAUUUAUAUUGUAAUGUAACACACAAUUAUCACAUUUACAUUGUAAUCAUUCAAUAUGUAAUGUUAGACAAAUUCUGAAGUUCUCAAAACAUCUACAAAUUAUACAGUGAAACCUGACUAAACUGAAAACCUGCAUAAACCAAACAUGUUCUUAAGCACAGUCAUAUCAAAUUGUAUGCGUUGCAAACCUGAAAAACUGAACAUUGGUCAAAGUGGAACAAAUUUUAAAAGUCCUGAAGAAAUUCAGUUUAACAGGUUUCACUGAAGUUAUAAUUUAUAAGGGAUGACUUUCAAAAAACAGCAGUAACAUAAAAUAAAAAGCCCUAUGUUUGAAAACACUAGUUUCCUUCCCAUUGAGUUGCACCAGAUAAUAAAGCAGUCCUAAUCAAUAAAACUGCUGAUUGGCACAUGUUAUAUUUAAUAGUGCUUUGAUACAAGCAUCAGUCUAAUGUUUGUUCAUUAGCCCUUUUGUUAUAUUAGAGGUAUAUUGAGAAUUGACACAAGUUGUACUUUACUUAUUUUACAUACUCAUCAGCCAUACCUGUAAUGAAUUAGAAAUUCGCAAUAAAAACACAUAAUUUCUAAUUACAAAAUUUUUCUGGUAAAGGGGAGAUAACCCCAUUUGAAAUAUUUUUCAUUAUAAAAAUAAGAAUAUUGCCAAUGAGACAACUAUCCACCAAAGACCACAUGAUGUUGAUUCAAUCGCACAUUACACAUACAUAAUACGUAGGUGUUUGAAUUCUGUUAUUUACACCAAGUUUAACUUAUGUUUCUCUUGAUGCCUCUAAUAUGUAUCACUUCAAAAAAUUCAUUCAAACAAUAAAUGAAAUAAUAUGUCAUGGAUUAUAUUAAUGAUUUCUACUGUAUUGCACAAUCAAUUUUUAAGAAACCAUUUUUUAAAUCUUAUAAUUUCCCUAAAGAGAUAUUAUAAAUGUAUAAAGAUUUAUGAUAACAGGAUAUUUGUCUUAAUAUUAUUCCUAAUAGAACCAACAGAUUUGUUCAGAAGUUCAUCUUAAACAAAAAGUUAAAUGUCACAAUUUCACUCAAUGUACAGUACAAAUGUACCAAAGUUAAGUUGAGGUAAGCAAAUGGCUAGUCAUACUGAAGUAUAACAAAACUGCAUAUUAUUUCAAAAACUAAACAAACAAUUAUCAUAUAAGCUGCGUCUUAUAAAAAUUAAGGGGGCUCCUGGGUAUAAAUCAAUUUUUUUUUCUAAUAUAGGAUUUCGCUAUAUUUUUUUUUUAAAUGAACUUUAUUAUAUACUUAAAAGAAAAAUGAAAUAAAAAGUGAGGUCACCGUUCAUUUAAGCUCACAUUCUGCCUCCGGAAGAAGCAUACAUUUUUGUUAAUGUCCUUUUUUUCUGUUGAACUAAUAGGAGAAAUAAAGGUAAUAUCGAAAUAAAAAAAUAACCUAAUUACAGAAAUCACUUAAAUGUUACAAUUAUUUAGUUUAUGUACAGCUUAUUUGAAAACAAUGAUAAAAAAUAUAGGUCACCGAUGAGUUGAAAAAGAUAUUUCAAAUUUAAUGCCAAAAAAUGGCAUUUUUGCACCAAAGAGAGAUAAUUUGGAGCUUUUUCAAUGAUAUAAAAAUUUUAAAAGUCACCUGGGGCCAAACCAAAUCGAUUUUUGGGGAUGAUUUUUGUACCAUAUCAUAAAGUAAUAACUAAUAGUGUAAUAAAUAAAAUUUAUAGUGAAAAAAUAAAAGUUUAAUUUUUGCUGAAAUUUUUGUACCCACGAGCCACCUUAAGGUUAGCAAAUGGCUAGUCAUAUUGAAUUUUAAACAAAACUGCCUAUUCUUUCAAAAAUUAAACAAACAAUAAACAUAUGAGCUGGGUCUUAUAAAAAUCAAACUUAUGCAAAUGAUCAUCAAUACAUCUGUUAACCAUUUAAGAGAUAACUGUAUUGUAUUUGAAGCUUUAAGGACGUCCAUUGGUAGUUUUACUGUCGCAAAAUUAGUUUACCUGGCGACACGGAGCAAAGACAGGUAAACAGGUAUUUGCGACAGUUAAACUACCGAUGGACGUCCGCAAAGAUUCAAAUACAAUACAGUUAUCUCUAUUUUAAUGCAAAACAAGUUCAUAAUUAAAUUUCAAUCAUUAUUUCAGUGUAAAAUCUUCAUUAAAGAAAAUUCCGCGAAAAGAUGUUAUCUUCUUUGGUCCCUACACUAGGUGACGUCAUAGGUAUGCUUCCAGCGUCAAACAUAAACACCGGGCGUUUUCUGUCUUCUGUGCAGCUUCAGAAUGUAAUAAAAUUUGAUAAAAGAAGAUUUUUAGGCGCAACAAGUGAGUUUUUUGCUUAUUAUUGUAGAAAUAACAUGUCAAUACGUUUCGAAAUUCAAAAUGUCGGCUUCCUUAGUUACAGACAAGGAGAUAUAGAAUUUUACGCUUGCUGUCAUCCAAUCAGAACAAUUGUUACAAAAUAAUUGAUUAGAAUUUGGGAUGAAAACAUCUCUAUGUAAAAUAUGCAACUGUUUGAAAGUUAUGUUGAUAUAAGAAACCUACAAAAUAGAUCAAAAUACAGCUUUCAUUUCCUAUUUGAAUGUUAUAAAGCAAUCAAAGUAUGUUUAAUGUACAUGUAUACAUGCACAAGAUUGAUUUCUAUCCAAGGCAGCAAAUAUGUCUAAAUUUGACCAAUGCUUUUCCUUAUGUAUUUCCUAGUACUCAACAUAAUCUAGCAUUCAAUUAAUGUAAAUGUAUUUUGCAACAAUUUUGAGUCCUUUAAAUGAAAAAAAAAUCCCUUUAAAAUUCAGAAAACAGUUAUGGUUCCUAGUUAAAAAAUGUCUUUGAAGGGUAUUUUCUAAAGAUACUACUGCUUAAACACAAAGGUGUUAUACAUGUAUAAAUAUCAAAUUAUGAUGGAAAGCCAGGCUAAGAUACUAAGGUACUUUCAGUUGUUCAAUCAGUCAUUGACAAGGGCAUAACUCUGAUUGUUAGAAAUGUGAUAAUAUUGAAAUUCAAACCAGAAUUGCAUUUCAUAGUAGACAGUUACAAGACCUAUUCAAAAGUAAACAAGCUCACUAUACAGUAUGGGUUUUGCUCAGUGUUGAAGGAUUCGUUUGGUUAAGUUGUAUAGUUGUAUCAUUGGUAAUCACAACAUAUCUCUAUUUUUAUAUUAAGUUACCAUUUGAAACCAUUUAAACCUAUUAGAGAUAGUUCAAUUUAUGUUUUACACAUUAGAUACUUUAGUUAAACAGAUUUUUCAGAGGGCUUAACAAAGCAGUGCUCAUUUCACAAAUCCCACUUUUUUUAUUAACCCUCCCCCUUUCUUCCUGUAUUUCUGAGAUCCCUCUUUUCAUCCCCCUACAUCCCAAAUCCCAUGCAUGUGUCAUCCCCCACGGAGUGGAUUUUAAUUGAAUCAUCCAAUUUGUACAGUAUAAUAACAAUGUAUGCAGUAUAAAGUUUAUAAUAACAUUGGUACACAAAAUAAAGAGUUAGACACAUUAUUUGUCAUUAGAAAUCAGAAACAAAUCUCUUUCUGAAAAUGAUACUGUAAGUAUGAUCAAUAAACUGACAUUGAAGAAGAAGUACAUGAAUAUGUAGAUGAUGAUUUGCACAUUUAUUGCACAUUAGUUAGAACACACAUGAAAAAAAGAAAGUAGGCUAAAAAUAAACACAACGUUCAUCUUUCCUGUACCGUCUAAAAAUAUUGCACUUUUCAUUCUCAACGAUUAGUUCACAGAACUUAGACCUUUAUAAAAGCUAGAAAAUUUGAGUAUUAUUGUAAAACUGGAUGACAUAAUUCUUCCUUAGUGACAAUACAUUUUCAAAUAAUGAAACCAAUAAUACAAAUAUGAUAAAGAUAUAUGCUGUUUUAUGAUACCAGAAAGAAUUAAUUUUGAUACAAUUAUUAAUAACUAAAAUCAAAAUUAAAAGGCAUACUAGUUCAAAUUACUACUUUCUGAUGUAAUAAAUGUCAAUGCAUGUAAUGUAUUCAUAUCAUUUGGCCAUUUCAGAAUCUAAUGCAUUCUGGGUAAUAUUUUCAAAAGUAUACACUGAAAUGUUGAUUGGUUUAAAACAUCAUCCAACCAGUUACAUCUUUCCUUUCAAAUAUAAACAAAAAUCAUUUUUGAAAGGGAGAAUUGUCAAAAUUGAUAUCAUUUUAUAAUUUUGAAUGGAAAAAGUGAUCUCAUACAAUUUAUACAUUGCAAAUUAAAUGCAUUGAAAUUUAAUACAUUGUAAUAUAAAACUAUUGGAAAAGCAGAAAUGAUCACAAUGUAACAUGACACAACCUAGAAAAUGACGUUAAUAGAAAGGGACACACAACCAAUAAAAGCUGCAAGAAAAACAAUAAAAUAAAAACAAAGAUUUAAACAACUAAAAAUAGUAUAAUCACACAAUGCUUGCCCUAAUAUGUUUGGUAUAAUGAUUUAAAGACAUUUCUAGUAGCUAUUUUUGAGAUCCCUCAGAAAUAAAAUUCAAACUUCAUUACGUGACCAUACAAAAAGGGGUAUAUGAUUAAAUACCUACUAACACAAAUGUAUUUAAAGGUGGUAAAUACAACUGAAGGGAGAUAACUCUAUAAAACUCAGCUGAACAUUUUAAUCACAUUUGAUUGUUAAGGAUAUAUUAAACUUCUCAAUGAUUAAAACAUUGUAAAACUAGUGUUUGUCAAACUGUUGUAUAUCAAAGGAAAUUUUUCUGAUCAAGUGUGUGGUUCAAGUUUUUUUUUAAAUUUGUCAAAAUUUUAUGAAAAUUAAAUGAACCACAUUAAUUUUAGUCUAGGUGUUUGUGUCUGUUGACUCAAAAUUGAUCUGUUACUCCCUAGACAUAAUUCAAAUGAAUAUCUUACAAAAGAAUAGGCAGAUAAAUUCGCCGUUUCAGAAUCUAAUGCAUUCUGGGAAAUAUUUUCAUAAGCAUACACCAAAAGGUUGUGAUUGGUGAAAAAUGUUCUAAACAAUUGAAAUUCAACCAAUGACGUAUCGUUAUUUUCAUUUUGGUGUACGAACAAUGAGAUUACCCAUAGUCCUUUAGAUUCUGAAAAGGCGAAUUGGUGACUGAUACAUACAUGGAUGGACAGCAAGAGGAGGUUGUUAUCAAGAGAGAAUUAAAAAAGAAAGAAACAGUUUGUCAACACAUUGUCUAAAAAUCAUUAGAGAAACAAAUUCUACAACCAUAUCUUGUGUGAAAAAUCAUUUCUCCACUCAUAACAGUAUAAAUUCUAAUUAUUUAUUAACAUUUUUUUUAUUUUGAAAAUUUAUCUGUC
rnacentral:lncRNA from 1 species